rnacentral:rRNA from 1 species
GCUGGCAGCCAUAUCACCCUGCAAUUCACAACUGGCAGCCCCCACUGAAGCUCAGCAGGUGUGAGCCUGGUCAGUACCUGGAUGGGAGACCUCCUGGGAAAAACUAAAGGUUGUUGCUGGAA